rnacentral:rRNA from 1 species
UACGAAGGGGGCUAGCGUUGCUCGGAAUCACUGGGCGUAAAGCGCACGUAGGCGGCUUUCUAAGUCAGGGGUGAAAUCCUGGAGCUCAACUCCAGAACUGCCUUUGAUACUGGAGAGCUUGAGUCCGGAAGAGGUGAGUGGAACUCCGAGUGUAGAGGUGAAAUUCGUAGAUAUUCGGAAGAACACCAGUGGCGAAGGACGGCCUGCAUCCAGGUGCC